UGGGGAAUAUUGCACAAUGGGCGCAAGCCUGAUGCAGCCAUGCCGCGGGUAUGAAGAAGGCCUUCGGGUUGUAAAGUACUUUCAGCGGGGAGGAAGGGAGUAAAGUUAAUACCUUUGCUCAUCGACGUUCCCCGCAGAAGAAGCACCGGCUAACUCCGUGCCAGCAGCCGCGGUAAUACGGAGGGUGCAAGCGGUAAUCGGAAUUACUGGGCGUAAAGCGCACGCAGGCGGUUUGUUAAGUCAGAGGUGAAAUCCCCGGGCUCAACCUGGGAACUGCAUCUAAUACUGGCAAGCUUGAGUCUCGUAGAGGGGGGUAGAAUUCCAGGUGUAGCGGUGAAAUGCGUAGAGAUCUGGGGGAAUACCGGUGGCGAAGGCGGCCCCCUGGACGAAGACUGACGCUCAGGUGCGAAAGCGUGGGGAGCAAACAGG
rnacentral:rRNA from 1 species